GGCGGUAUAGCUCAGUGGUACGAACGUUGGACUGCAGAUCCAAGGGUCCUCGGUUCGAAUCCGGGUGCCGUCU